rnacentral:tRNA from 1 species
AUUUAAAUAGUUUAUAAUAAAACAUUGAUUUGUGGUAUCAAAAAAAAUUGUUAAUUUUUAAAUU